UAUAUUUGGUAUGAAUUUCAGAUUAAUGCUUAAGGAACCAAAUUUAAGGGAAAAAAGGAAAGACCCAGCCUAUCAAGAUGUCAAAAAACGAAAGUAGCGGACUAAGAAAGCUGUUCACAAUAAUAACAGCUCCAGUAUGGGUUCCAGUUGCCGCGGCAGGAGCACUGGUAGCUGUUCCAUUCCAAGCAGUGGCCGACUCUGUGGACGUUGCCGAGAAGACAGAUUCAGCCGGAGCAGGGGUUACUAGCUUUCCGGCAAAUACUGUCCUCCGUGCAGUCAGCAACCCAGUCAAGGGCAUUGCUACAGUAGGCGAGGAAAUGUGGGGGAAAGACUAAGUGAUGGUUCAAUUCCAAUAAACUUGAGAGUGGAAGAUUUUUCAACUUGUUUUAAUGGACUAGUUUUGUGUAUCAUAUAUCGGAUAUUUCUUUUUCAGAAAGUAAAAAACUUACAUAAAUGAUUAAAAAUGUGAAUUUCGAUCAUAAGAAUUUUAAGUUUGUUAUACAAUUUGCCUCAAGUUUAUUUUUUUUUAAUUCUAAAUUCAUUGUAAAUGAUAAUACAUAUUGUUUGGAUAUUGUU